GACGAACGCUGGCGGAGGGAUGAACACAUGCAAGUCGAACGGAAAGGCCCUGCUUUUGUGGGGUGCUCGAGUGGCGAACGGGUGAGUAACACGUGAGUAACCUGCCCUUGACUUUGGGAUAACUUCAGGAAACUGGGGCUAAUACCGGAUAGGAGCUCCUGCUGCAUGGUGGGGGUUGGAAAGUUUCGGCGGUUGGGGAUGGACUCGCGGCUUAUCAGCUUGUUGGUGGGGUAGUGGCUUACCAAGGCUUUGACGGGUAGCCGGCCUGAGAGGGUGACCGGCCACAUUGGGACUGAGAUACGGCCCAGACUCCUACGGGAGGCAGCAGUGGGGAAUAUUGCACAAUGGGCGGAAGCCUGAUGCAGCAACGCCGCGUGCGGGAUGACGGCCUUCGGGUUGUAAACCGCUUUCGCCUGUGACGAAGCGUGAGUGACGGUAAUGGGUAAAGAAGCACCGGCUAACUACGUG
rnacentral:rRNA from 1 species